UGUUCAAUAGUUUGUUUCUGUUGUAGUUCCAUAUUUCUGCCAGCAGGGAGCGUAUUCACAGCUACAAGCUCUACGCGCUUCUUCUUUUGUCUUUUUUCUCUUUGCGCUGAUGCCGUUACUGCAGUUUAGAGAGAGUUAGAACAGGAGGCGUCAAUAUAACUAGUUACUAAGUAAAUACUGAUUAAAACUGUGUUAUAUCUUGAGUUAUUGAUCCUAGGAGAUUAUCUGCACCUGCCAGGAGGGUUUCUGGUUGCGGGACAUCAUCGUGUUGUUGUGUUUUGUCGAGUGAAAACUGCGAUUGUAGCCGGGGCUGCUGUCCAGGAAGUAGGGCGCUGUGCGCUGGUUCUCUUGCCCAUAUAUGGAAGAGGCGGUGACAGAGCACACCUGGUGGGGAUGAGACAGAGGCAGCGCAUUUCUAGAGCGACGUCCGGAGCACCGUGGAUCGGUUUUACUGCAGAGAAGGUAAAGGCAGUAGAUCAUCACCUGGCUGCUGGGGACGCUGAUCUAGUUUAGAUCUCUUUAGUCUGCAGGUUGACCUGCUACUGUUUUAGCUACUGUUUCAGUUAUUGGUUUGGCUGCUGUUUUAACUACUGUUUUAGGGUUUUAUUCCUAGUUUAGUAAGGCAGGGAGAGUUUUUAUUUAGUCCCCUGGCCCGGUUUUAACCCACAGGAGGACCUAUGCUGUCCCUGGGUCCUGUGCUGGUUUUAUUUAGAUUAGGUUAAGGAGACUAGU